rnacentral:rRNA from 1 species
AUGAUCGAAUUAACUGCGGUUGCUACGGUGGCGGCGAAGAUCACGCCUAAGCUCGCCGGUUUCUUUCUGAGAAGACGGAGGCUGCUGGCGGAACUGGAGCAUGACAUCGAACACAUCCAAAGGGAGUGUUCGAUCAUUGCUGCCGCCAUCACAGAUGAUCGUAAUCAUCAGCAUGCGAGCGACGCCGCCGUGGCACAUCAGGAAUGGAUCAAGAUCGUGCGUGACUUGGCGUACGACAUUGAUGACUGCAUCGACCGCUUCAUACACCGCGUCUCGACGGCGACCGUCGCGGACGCGGGGUGGAUCCGUCGGAAAGCUCACCGGGUGAAGACAGUGCGGGCCCGUGGCAAGUUUGCCGCGGCAAUCGCUCGUCUCAGGAAGCGGUCUGACGAGGCAUCGGAGCUGAGAAAGAAGUACACCGAUCUAGCGUAUGGAGAUGGCCGGGCCACCGCCGUCUUUGAGUCACGGGCACCUGAGGCCAAGCCGGAACCGGAGCCGGAGACGUACACAGAUAGCCCCGUCGGCAUGGAAGCGCCCGAGGAGGAGCUCAUGGAGCUGAUAAGGGGAACUUCGACGCAAGGUGAAGAACCCAAGGAGAAGCUCAAGGUGAUUUCCAUCGUGGGAUUCGGUGGUAUCGGCAAGUCUCAACUUGCCAAGCGUGUGUACGACACACUUGACGACGAGGGGCAAUACCAAGCACGGGCUUGGGUUCGAGCUGCAGAGAAAGGCCCAGAAGAUCUUCUCCAAGCAAUAUUGCAGGAACUUGGGACGCAUACCACCACCAUUAGCGCAAGCUCCAGCAACAGCAAGCUCUGUGCAACCAUACAAAAGCGCCUUGGGACACAGAGGUUCUUCAUUGUAAUCGAUGACAUGCGGGAAGACUUUUGGGUCGAUAUAAAAGAUGCUUUCCCUGUUAUUCCUGGGGUCGACAGUAGAGUGCUCGUCACGACGGCCAGGCAGACCAUAGCAAUGAAAAGCAGCAGUCGUGAUGGUCAUGUGUACGUAAUGAGAACUCUUGCCGACGAUCAUUCAAGACAACUGUUCUGUGAGGAAGCUUCCUUGGUGUAUCCACCAUCAGUCGGUGAUACGAAGCUGAGUUCAGAGGUAAUAAAGAGGUGUGAUGGUCUGCCCCUUGCUCUUGUUACCACAGGACGGCUGUUGCACGGUGAAUCCAGACAGGAACAAUGGGCAGAUCUGGGAGGAAACCUUGGCGAACAUCUGGAGAACAAUAAGAAGUUAGCAAGUAUGAAUAGUGUGCUCAUCCGUAGCUACAGCGGCCUAAGUAAGCAACAUAUCAAGACAUGCUUGUUAUAUCUUGGUAUUUACCCAAGUGGCCGCCCGAUCAGGAGAGGAAGCCUGAUAAGGCGAUGGUCUGCUGAAGGUUUCAUCAAAGCAGAGCAUAAACGCAGUGCCCGGGAGGUCGCUGUUGCCAAUUUUAGUGAGCUGGUCGACUGGAGCAUCAUCCAGCCAAUUGAUGCCAGCGGCAGCGGCAGAGCCGAGGUGAAGGCAUGCCAAACUCACGGCAUAAUGCUCGAGUUCCUCCUGCACAAGUCCAUGUGUGAGAAUUUUGUUACCUUGUUGUACGAUGAUGUUCCCCCACCCAGUAAAGUUCGUUGGCUCUCUCUGCAUAAUGGAAGUGCUGCAAGCUCCAGAAUUAAUCCAAAUGAUGUACCCUUUCUUCGUUCUCUGACAAUCUUUGGCAAAGCCCACAAAUCUGUCUUGAAUUUUUCCAAGUAUAAACUGAUGAGAGUUUUGGAUUUAGAAGAGUGCCAUGAACACAUGGAGGACAAGCAUCUCAAGGGGAUAUGCAGCAAUCUGGUGCUACUCAGGUACCUAAGCCUCCGGGGCGCUUCUAAAAUUACAGUUCUCCCCAAAGAGGUCAAGAAGCUUCAACUUUUGGAGACACUUGAUGUAAGAGGAACAAAUAUAGAUAUUCUCCCCACACAAGUCAUGCAACUACAAAGUUUACUUCAUCUGUUUGGAAAGUUCAAGCUCCCACAAGAUGUAGGAGGCCGGAAAAUCCGUAAGCUACAGGCUUGGUUGCAAGAGGAAGAGAACAGUAAACUGCAAACUGUAGCAGGAUUUGUUGUGGAUGACAAGAGCCAGGGAUUUGCACAGCUGAUGGGUGAAAUGAAGAAACUGACGAAGGUGAAAAUAUGGUGGGAGUCUACCACCGAUGCCAGCAGCUACUUAAGUCAUCUCUCAGAGGCCAUCAAGGAGUUCAUCGACAGAGGCACCGAUCAGAACAAAGCUCGUUCACUCUCAAUGAACAUGAACGGUGCAUGGUCUCAAGACUUGCUGAAUUUCUCCCUGGAAAAUGACUCAUCCUGCUAUGUUAGCUCGCUCAAACUGCAAGGAAACAACAUAUCCAACCUGCCUCCCUUUGUUAGCAUGCUAGGUGGACUCACUAAGCUUUGUCUUUCAUUCUCUCAUCUUCAGCUGAGCAGUGGCAUUCUUGAAGCCCUGAACAGCGUGAGCGGCCUGAAGUACCUCAAGCUGAAUGCAACUCGACUGGACAAUCUCGUCAUCAAAGAGGAUGCACUCGGAAGCCUGAAACGCCUAUGCAUCGUGGUAGAAGUCAUGACUGGGCUGGUAAUCGAAGAAGGUGCUCUGCCAGACCUUGAGUCCCUCCAGCUUAUAUGCAAGGAUCUGGAUGGCUUUAGCAGCACAAGGAUCCAGUCCCUGCCACGUCUUAAGGAGGUCGCCCUUCAUGAUGGUGUGAGCGAAGGAACAAAAGAGGAAUGGAAAGGAGCAACAAAGAACCACUCCAGGCAUCCCAAGCUCUUGUUUGUCACGAAACAAAUGGUUGAUGACCAUUUUAAACCGAUGGGAACUGAGGCUGCUCCGGAAAUUAGCCCUGAAGCGACAGCUGUUGACGCGAUGGUUGUGGGAAGUGAGCCUGUAGAGAAUUCUGAGAGCUCUGGGGCACCACCUACUGAUACCGCAUUAUUGGUUACAACGCAGCCCACCACUAUUUCUACUCAAGAAUCUGUACAAGUUGUUACUUCUGAGAUGGUUGAUGCCCAGGACCUGAUGGGAACUGAGUCUGCAAUGGAAACUAGUCCUGUGGCAACAAGUACUGAUACGACCAAAAAGAUUGAUGUGGAAAGUGAGCAUGCGUUGAAUUCUGAGAGCCUAGUAGCACCACCUACUGAUAUGAUGUUAUCAAUGACAACGCCAUCCGAUGCCAUUUCUACUGGAGAGUCUGUACAACUUAACGGUGGUUGCCAACAUAAUGACGAGGGGAAAGAUCUGGAUAACAUUGAGGACCCAAAAGAUUUUGCUACAGAAAAUGGUCUGAGCACUCAGUUGAUAAAUCACAUGAGCAAGGAAUGUUAUAAAGUGGAGAUGGAAGGAGUGGCAUGUUUAGAGGAUCUGCAUAUGAAAGAUGGCAUCCAGAAACAAGGCCUAAAAAAUAAACAGCGCCUGCGUGCAAGGUUGUUAUCGCUGGUGAAAAUUGGUGUCUUUCGUCACACAAGUCGAAAGGGGCGGUUGGUGCAUCGGCUGGAUUAA